rnacentral:rRNA from 1 species
ACGAACGCUGGCGGCGUGCUUAACACAUGCAAGUCGAACGAUGAACCACUUCGGUGGGGAUUAGUGGCGAACGGGUGAGUAACACGUGGGCAAUCUGCCCUGCACUCUGGGACAAGCCCUGGAAACGGGGUCUAAUACCGGAUACUGACCUUCACGGGCAUCUGUGAAGGUCGAAAGCUCCGGCGGUGCAGGAUGAGCCCGCGGCCUAUCAGCUUGUUGGUGAGGUAAUGGCUCACCAAGGCGACGACGGGUAGCCGGCCUGAGAGGGCGACCGGCCACACUGGGACUGAGACACGGCCCAGACUCCUACGGGAGGCAGCAGUGGGGAAUAUUGCACAAUGGGCGAAAGCCUGAUGCAGCGACGCCGCGUGAGGGAUGACGGCCUUCGGGUUGUAAACCUCUUUCAGCAGGGAAGAAGCGAAAGUGACGGUACCUGCAGAAGAAGCGCCGGCUAACUACGUGCCAGCACCGCGGUAAUACGUAGGGCGCAAGCGUUGUCCGGAAUUAUUGGGCGUAAAGAGCUCGUAGGCGGCUUGUCACGUCGGUUGUGAAAGCCCGGGGCUUAACCCCGGGUCUGCAGUCGAUACGGGCAGGCUAGAGUUCGGUAGGGGAGAUCGGAAUUCCUGGUGUAGCGGUGAAAUGCGCAGAUAUCAGGAGGAACACCGGUGGCGAAGGCGGAUCUCUGGGCCGAUACUGACGCUGAGGAGCGAAAGCGUGGGGAGCGAACAGGAUUAGAUACCCUGGUAGUCCACGCCGUAAACGGUGGGCACUAGGUGUGGGCAACUUC